rnacentral:rRNA from 1 species
UGCAAGUCGAGCGAACAGACGAGGAGCUUGCUCCUCUGACGUUAGCGGCGGACGGGUGAGUAACACGUGGGUAACCUACCUAUAAGACUGGAAUAACUCCGGGAAACCGGGGCUAAUGCCGGAUAAUAUGCGGAACCGCAUGGUUCCGCAAUGAAAGACGGUUUUGCUGUCACUUAUAGAUGGACCCGCGCCGUAUUAGCUAGUUGGUAAGGUAACGGCUUACCAAGGCAACGAUACGUAGCCGACCUGAGAGGGUGAUCGGCCACACUGGAACUGAGACACGGUCCAGACUCCUACGGGAGGCAGCAGUAGGGAAUCUUCCGCAAUGGGCGAAAGCCUGACGGAGCAACGCCGCGUGAGUGAUGAAGGUCUUCGGAUCGUAAAACUCUGUUAUUAGGGAAGAACAAGUGCGUAGGUAACUAUGCGCACCUUGACGGUACCUAAUCAGAAAGCCACGGCUAACUACGUGCCAGCAGCCGCGGUAAUACGUAGGUGGCAAGCGUUAUCCGGAAUUAUUGGGCGUAAAGCGCGCGUAGGCGGUUUUUUAAGUCUGAUGUGAAAGCCCACGGCUCAACCGUGGAGGGUCAUUGGAAACUGGAAAACUUGAGUGCAGAAGAGGAAAGUGGAAUUCCAUGUGUAGCGGUGAAAUGCGCAGAGAUAUGGAGGAACACCAGUGGCGAAGGCGACUUUCUGGUCUGCAACUGACGCUGAUGUGCGAAAGCGUGGGGAUCAAACAGGAUUAGAUACCCUGGUAGUCCACGCCGUAAACGAUGAGUGCUAAGUGUUAGGGGGUUUCCGCCCCUUAGUGCUGCAGCUAACGCAUUAAGCACUCCGCCUGGGGAGUACGGCCGCAAGGCUGAAACUCAAAGGAAUUGACGGGGACCCGCACAAGCGGUGGAGCAUGUGGUUUAAUUCGAAGCAACGCGAAGAACCUUACCAAAUCUUGACAUCCUUUGACCGCUCUAGAGAUAGAGUCUUCCCCUUCGGGGGACAAAGUGACAGGUGGUGCAUGGUUGUCGUCAGCUCGUGUCGUGAGAUGUUGGGUUAAGUCCCGCAACGAGCGCAACCCUUAAGCUUAGUUGCCAGCAUUAAGUUGGGCACUCUAAGUUGACUGCCGGUGACAAACCGGAGGAAGGUGGGGAUGACGUCAAAUCAUCAUGCCCCUUAUGAUUUGGGCUACACACGUGCUACAAUGGACAGUACAAAGGGCAGCGAAACCGCGAGGUCAAGCAAAUCCCAUAAAGCUGUUCUCAGUUCGGAUUGUAGUCUGCAACUCGACUACA